UCGAGGAAAUGCAACUAGGCCUCAAUGGCCCAUUUGGAACGAAAAGGAAAGGGAAGCAAUGGAGUUCGAGGAACUCACUCGAGAUCACAUGAAACAGAAGAUAAAAGAAAAGGAUUAACGCAUAUUCGUAACAAAGAAACUUAGGAAUAAGACUUAAUCAAUAAAGAAAGCAAAACACACUGAUAGCAAUAUAACUUAAC
rnacentral:lncRNA from 1 species